rnacentral:rRNA from 1 species
CCGGGAAGAGCUCAAAUUUGAAAUCUGGCGUCCUCAGGGCGUCCGAGUUGUAAUCUAUAGAGGCGUUUUCCGUGCCGGACCGUGUCCAAGUUCCUUGGAACAGGAUAUCAAAGAGGGUGACAAUCCCGUACUUGACACGACGACCGGUGCUCUGUGAUACGUCUUCUACGAGUCGAGUUGUUUGGGAAUGCAGCUCAAAAUGGGUGGUGAGUUCCAUCUAAAGCUAAAUAUUGGCGAGAGACCGAUAGCGAACAAGUACCGUGAGGGAAAGAUGAAAAGCACUUUGGAAAGAGAGUUAAACAGUACGUGAAAUUGUUGAAAGGGAAACGAUUGAAGUCAGUCGUGACCGAGAGGCUCAGCCGGUUCUGCCGGUGUAUUCCCCUCGGUCGGGUCAACAUCAGUUUUGUCCGGUGGAUAAGGGCGGUAGGAAGGUGGCACCCUCGGGUGUGUUAUAGCCUGCCGUCGCAUACAUCGGGUGAGACUGAGGAACGCAGCUCGCCUUUAUGGCCGGGGUUCGCCCACGUCCGAGCUUAGGAUGUUGACAUAAUGGCUUUAAACGACCCGUC